AUUGAACGCUGGCGGCAGGCCUAACACAUGCAAGUCGAGCGAGCGGCGGACGGGUGAGUAAUGUCUGGGAAACUGCCUGAUCGAGGGGGAUAACUACUGGAAACGGUAGCUAAUACCGCAUACCAUCAGAUGUGCCCAGAUGGGAUUAGCUAGUAGGUAAGGUAACGGCUGACCUAGGCGACGAUCCCUAGCUGGUCUGAGAGGAUGACCAGCCACAUGGGAACUGAGACACGGCCCAGACUCCUACGGGAGGCAGCAGUGGGGAAUAGUGCACAAUGGGCGCAAGCCUGAUACAGCCAUGCCGCGUGUGUUAAGAAGGCCUUAGGGUUGUAAAGCACUUUCAGCGGGGAGGCGUUACCCGCAGAAGAAGCACCGGCUAACUCCGUGCCAGCAGCCGCGGUAAUAC
rnacentral:rRNA from 1 species